UUGAACGCUGGCGGCAUGCUUUACACAUGCAAGUCGCACGGUAACAGGCCUUCGGGUGCUGACGAGUGGCGAACGGGUGAGUAAUGCAUCGGAACGUACCCAGAGGUGGGGGAUAACGCAGCGAAAGCUGUGCUAAUACCGCAUGUGAUCUGAGGAUGAAAGCGGGGGACCGAGCAGCAAUGUUUGGCCUCGCGCCUUUGGAGCGGCCGAUGUCGGAUUAGCUAGUUGGUGGGGUAAAGGCCUACCAAGGCGACGAUCCGUAGCUGGUCUGAGAGGACGACCAGCCACACUGGGACUGAGACACGGCCCAGACUCCUACGGGAGGCAGCAGUGGGGAAUUUUGGGCAAUGGGCGCAAGCCUGAUCCAGCAAUGCCGCGUGCGGGAAGAAGGCCUUCGGGUUGUAAACCGCUGUUGGCAGGAACGAAACGGUGUCCGCUAAUACCGGGCGCUAAUGACGGUACCUGCAGAAUAAGCACCGGCUAACUACGUG
rnacentral:rRNA from 1 species